rnacentral:rRNA from 1 species
CCUACGGGAGGCAGCAGUGGGGAAUAUUGCACAAUGGGUGAACCCCUGAUGCAGCGAAGCCGCGUGAGUGAAGAAUUAUCUCGGUAUUUAAAACUCUAUCAGCAGGGAAGCAAAUGACGGUACCUGACUCAGAAGCCCCGGCUAACUACGUGCCAGCAGCCGCGGUAAUCCUUAGGGGGAAAGGGUUAUCCGGAUUUACUUGGUGUAAAGGGUGCGUAGACGGCGCUGCAAGUCCGGAGUGAAAGCCCAUGGCUGAACCAUUGUACUGCUCUGGAAACUGUGGAGCUUGAGUGCGGGAGGAGCAGGCGGAAUUCGUAGUGUAGCGGUGAAAUGCGUAGAUAUUAGGAGGAACACCGGCGGCGAAGGCGGCCUGCUGGACCGUAACUGACGUUGAGGCUCGAAAGCGUGGGGAGCAAACAGGAUUAGAUACCCUAGUAGUC